AUUGAACGCUGGCGGCAGGCCUAACACAUGCAAGUCGAGCGCGCGGCGGACGGGUGAGUAAUGUCUGGGAAACUGCCUGAUGGAGGGGGAUAACUAUUGUAAACGGUAGCUAAUACCGCAUACCAUCAGAUGUGCCCAGAUGGGAUUAGCUCGUAGGUGGGGUAACGGAUCACCUUGGCGACGAUCCCUAGCUGGUCUGAGAGGAUGACCAGCCACACUGGAACGGAGACACGGUCCAGAUUCCUACGGGAGGCAGCAGUGGGGAAUAUUGCACAAUGUGCGAAAGCCUGAGGCAGCCAUGCCGCGUGGGUGAAGAAGGCCUUCGGGUUGUAAAGCACUUUCAGCGUGGAGGCGUUACCCGCAGAAGAAGCACCGGCUAACUCCGUGCCAGCAGACGCGGUAAUUA
rnacentral:rRNA from 1 species